GGGGAUGUAGCUCAAUUGGUAGUAGCGCCAGCCUCUGAAGCUGGAAGUUCUGGGUUCAAGUCCCUGCGUCCCUGCCA
rnacentral:tRNA from 1 species